AAAUUCCUGCGGUGUGCGUGAUUAGGUAGAUGAUUUUGGGCCGACGUUAAUUACCUUGGGAACUCCCGCUUGCUCUGGAUGGCCUUUCCUUUUAGGAAAAAGCCAAAAGGAGUAAUGGAGUACCCACCUGUCGGAAGACAGGUUCAAAAGACUCUACCAACACGGCACUGCGGGAUAAAU
rfam:Candidatus Desulfofervidus auxilii strain HS1 genome.